GACGUAGGGUGCGAGCGUUGUCCGGAUUUAUUGGGCGUAAAGAGCUCGUAGGCGGUUUGUCGCGUCUGCUGUGAAAACCCGAGGCUCAACCUCGGGCCUGCAGUGGGUACGGGCAGACUAGAGUGCGGUAGGGGAGAUUGGAAUUCCUGGUGUAGCGGUGGAAUGCGCAGAUAUCAGGAGGAACACCGAUGGCGAAGGCAGAUCUCUGGGCCGGUACUGACGCUGAGACGCGAAAAGCGUGGGGAGCGAACAGG
rnacentral:rRNA from 1 species